UGGCCUAUGGUGUAAUUGGCAGCACGACGGAUUCUGGUUCCGUUAGUCUUGGUUCGAGUCCAGGUAGGCCAG
rnacentral:tRNA from 5 species